rnacentral:sRNA from 1 species
UGUUAUAGACCUGGGAGGACAGGGUGACUCCCUUGUUCUUAGGCUCUGGCUUACCGGAAACCCCUGUCCCAUUGACCACAGCAUGCGGACCAUACAGAGGGAAGGUAGCACUGUCUUAGGCCUGAAAGAAAUAGCUAGAGAAGAAACUGGCAGACCUGUUUGCCCUAAGCCAUAAAUGAUCAGACUGGUGGAUUUUGAGGUUUUUUGAGCAGAUGGUAGAAUGUAUGAACCAUGCAGAAAGUACAGAGAAAAGGUUGUUCUGAGGCAUGGCCCCUGCCAAUUUCCCUUUUUCUGAGCUCAAGAAUGUUUGCAGGUUCUUUGCAAAUGGCAGUUAUCCUGGGGUUUAACAUGAUCGUUUUCUUAUUUUCAGAUUGAUUUCGUCGCCCAUGACGAUAUCCCCUACUCUUCGGCAGGGAGCGACGAUGUGUAUAAGCACAUCAAGGAAGCAGGCAUGUUUGCUCCCACACAGAGGACAGAAGGCAUCUCCACAUCAGACAUCAUCACCCGCAUUGUCCGUGACUAUGAUGUGUAUGCAAGACGGAACCUGCAGAGAGGCUACACUGCCAAGGAGCUCAAUGUCAGCUUUAUCAACG